rnacentral:rRNA from 1 species
UACGUAGGGGGCUAGCGUUGUCCGGAAUCAUUGGGCGUAAAGCGCGCGUAGGCGGCCCGGUAAGUCCGCUCUGAAAGUCCAGGGCUCAACCUGGAGACGCCACCCGAUACUGCUGUGGCUAGAGUCCGGUAGGGGAGCGUGGAAUUCCUGGUGUAGCGGUGAAAUGCGCAGAUAUCAGGAGGAACACCAGCGGCGAAGGCGGCGCUCUGGGCCGGUACUGACGCUGAGGAGCGAAAGCGUGGGGAGCAAACAGG